AGUCCAUUAAGCCUAGUUGCUUAGCAUUGGGAGCAUUACCGUACGGUAACUCCUCAAAGUCAGUGGCAGGGUUACGGUACACUCUUAGCGUAGUAGAUUUCUUUCUCGCUUUUGCUGUGGCCGUGGCCGUUGCUAUAAACCUAUACUUCUUAGUU
rnacentral:misc_RNA from 1 species